rnacentral:lncRNA from 1 species
CUUUUCCUUCAGGUCUUUACUCACACAUCAUCUCUGACAGGCCUUCGUCGGCCACUGUAUCUAAGGGUAGCUGUCUUCCCAUUUAUUCUCUAUCAUACAAACUUCUAUAGGGAUAAUUAGACAAUUUGUAAAAUACUAGCUAGAAAAAAAACAGUGCUAAACUAAUGGGAUAUCCCUAGUUUCCAGCCCUUGAUAAUGAAGAUGUAUUAUCUUUUUCUGGGAAACCUAUAAGGUUAUUAGAGAAAGAAAGGAAAAACAAAGCUUAAUUGGUGAAGCAUACUAGCAAAUCAAAAGACUAGCAAUACAUUUAGGGUGGAAAGUCUCUCUAAAUAGUCUGAUUUAUUUUGUAUUUCACCAAACUUGAAUUUCUUUGUCUAAAAUAUAAGAAUCUUCAGCUUUGAGUGAAAAAAAGUUUUAAUAGUGCCAGUGCAGUGGUACAUGCCUAUAAUCACAGUGUCUUGGGAAGCCAAGACAGAAUUACAAGUUCAAAGACAGCCUAAGCAACUUAGUGAGACUCUCAAAAUAGAAAAUAAAAGGGUUUGGGGAUGUAGCUCAAUGGUAAAGCACCCCUGGGUUCAAUCCCCAGUACCUAAAAAAUAAUAGUAAGUCAAACUUAAGAAUGACAAAAAUGUGUUACUAAUUUAAUCUUCAACUGUUAUUUUAAGAAGUAAUUUUAUCUUGAUAGUACUGACAAAAGUUCACAGAAGCAAUAUUUGGGAGAGUAUAAACUGGCAGGAUACUUCUAGAGUACAUUUUGGCAGGAUAUGUCAAAAGUCUUGAGUGUAUGUUUGACCCAGUAAUUCCUUUUCUAGAAAUGUAUCAUAGAAAAUAAGGACAGCCUGGGGAUGAGACUUGGUAUAGAGUGUUUACCUGGCAAGUGUGAAGCCCUAGGUUCAGUGCCCAGCACCAGGGGGGGAAAUGAGGGAAAUAAGGAUGUGUGUAGUAAUUUGAUUGCAAGAGUGUGCUUUAUUCCAUUGUUUAUUAACUAGAUUAGGAAACAUACCUACAAUGAAUGAUUCUCAACCAUUAAAAAUAAUAUGGAGAAAAUUUUACUGAUACAAUAAAUGGUGAAGUGUAAAGAAAAAGUUGUAAAAUAUUUUAAAUUUUAAAUCUUUGUCUCAUAAAGAAGGCCUAACAAUAUACACAAGGUAUUUUAUAUCAACAUUGCCCAAGUAAUUUAGAAAUCUUCCCCAUUCUCAUAGUUUUAAAAUUUUCAUACAAUAAAAUUUGUAUAAUACUAAGUAAAAGGCUGCUUUUCUGUUUUAAGAAACACAUAUGUGUUUCUGGGACUAGUACUACAUACACAGUUGUCAAGCCUAAAACCUUUUCCAUAUGCCCCCAACUAAACCAAUUCCCAUAUAUUUUAUCUUCUA